GACGAACGCUGGCGGCAUGCUUAACACAUGCAAGUUGAACGGAAUAUGGGUGCUUGCAUCCAUGUUUAGUGGCAAACGGGUGAGUAACACGUGGGAACUUACCCUUCAGAGCGGGACAAGCACUGGAAACGGUGUCUAAUACCGCAUACGCUCUCAGGGGGAAAGGAGAGAUCCGAUGAAGGAGAGGCCCGCGGCUGAGUAGGUAGUUGGUGGGGUAAAAGCCUACCAAGCCGAUGAUCUGUAGCUGGUUUGAGAGGAUGAUCAGCCACACUGGAACUGAGACACGGUACAGACUCCUACGGGAGGCAGCAGUGGGGAAUAUUGGACAAUGGGGGAAACCCUGAUCCAGCAAUGCCGCGUGAGUGACGAAGGCCUUAGGGUUGUAAAACUCUUUUCUAAGUGAAGAUGAUGACGGUAACUUAGGAAUAAGCUCCGGCUAACUUCGUGCCAGCAGCCGCCGUAA
rnacentral:rRNA from 1 species